AGCUUUGCAUAGUUACAGUAUCAUAGCCAGUGAAUUUAUCCCAAGCGCGAUUAUUGCUAAUUGAAAACUUUUCCCAGGCUCAGGACCUUGUGCUUGUGAGAUAUGUGUGGUGCCACUGAGCUAAAUCCCUGGCCCAAGUAUUUUUGUUUUUUUAGAAAA
rnacentral:snRNA from 1 species